GUUAAGGGCAGAUAGAGAAGCAGACUCCUCGCUGAGUAGGGAGCCCAGUGCAGGACUCUCUCUCAGGACUCUGGGACCAUGACCUGAGCCAAAGGCAGACACCUAACCGACUGAGCCACCAAGGCACCCAUUGCCUCAUAUUGAAUACAAGACUGUUCACACCAUAAAGGCCUAACUCUGAAAGCCCAUGUGCAAGGACACUGCUGUUUAACUGGACUGACCUCAGGACCAAGAAAUUUGUCAACCUUCUUACUUCAAGUUUCAAAGUGCACACCAACUCCAGGACUGCUUCCUCUCCCUGCAGACAACACCUGUAUCUCUUUCGGGCAUGCUGACCUUGGACUGAUGGAAUGAUUUUUGCCUCAAAUUGGGAAAGCCAGAAGUGCCUGUAAAUGUAAAUUCCUUCAUUUAAUCCAAAGCAAUGACCAAUGAGUACAGAGUAUAAAUACUCCAGCUCCAUUGUGACUUGAUUAGUACAUUAAAGGUAUGAUGUCCACUGCUGUGUCCUCUCCUGGGGCAACU